CGGCGAGUCACCACUCACAAACGAAAAUAGUAAAACACUUCACCAAACCAACAAAUAGAAAAGGCACUUUAAUAUGAUGCGCGAAGCUACAAGAAUCUUCCAUGUUCUCUUUCUGAAGCAAGGUAAACAGUAUCAUUCCCAUCUCAAAAAAUAUAGUUUUUUUUUCUUCUGAUUAGAUUUUUUGGGAAUCAUUUCGGAGCAGCGAUUUUUUUGGACUUUGAAAAUCAUAACCAAAUCACUAUAUGAUUAUUGUACAAAAUAAGGUGUUUAAUAACUUCAUAGACCAUUGUUGACUUGAUUUAUGGAAGAUAAUGAGUUGUUAUCUGUUGAUUACUAGUGUUCUCGAGAUGUUAGUUUAUGCAAUUCAAUGUUUGCUAUAUUCACAAUCAGUGUAUGCAAAAAGUACAAAAAGUGCUACCAUUGUCACUGAAGAUAAAAAACCUAGCUUAUAAUCCUGACUUGUUCGUGAUGUUUAAUGUAUUUCUUCUGUUUACAAGCAGUUUGAUAUACACUGACCUCUGCACUUUCAAUUGAGCUGUGAAGAGCUGAUGAGUGAGCUAAGCUAGUUGUCAACUAAUGUCCACAUGAUGCCUAAUUUUUUAUGAAGAGAAUCCAUAACUGUACUUGGAGUUCAAAGGUAUCGACGUGAGUCUUGUGUACGACACAAAUGAGGGUUUGGUUAAUGUGUCAGAUUCUUGCGGAGUAAUUUUCAGAGACAAGGUGAGUAUGUUGUUUCAUCUUCUAUAUUUCAAUUGUUGCUGGAUUGAAUUUUAGUUAUUAAAUUUAGUGAAGCCAUUGUUUUGUGCCGAUGUUGUCAUCAGAACAAUAUAUCUUUUGGUUCAAGAUGAAACUAAGUUGUACGUGUUACUUUCAUGUCUUUGUUUGGACAGAUGUUGUAAUACACUGGAUCAUAUAAAGGUGUCAGAUUAGCUUCGGGUCAGGAUUUAUAUAGUUGCCAGCUUAUCCUAAACCCCUUGUCUUUCAGGAUUCUAUCAACACUGUCUUUGUCUUCCAAUGAAAGCUUCGUAUGUUUAUUCAUUGUAGAGGGUAGAAAAGGUAGAGGGCAAAUGAGUGGGUAGCUGACUAAAGUCCCACAUUGUCUGUGUGCAUUAAAAAAACUAAGCCGAUCAGACAUAAAAUGAAAGGACCUUUACAUUUAAUUUUCACGAAGCCGUGUGAUAAUGACAUAGCGAACUAUUCUUUCGCCUUUUACUAAAGAAUACCGUGUCAGUGUCACAUUUAGCGGCAUGCGCUAGUUUUUGGAAGAGUCCUCUUUAUUGAGGGCUCUACAACCUUAGUUUAAGUUUGCAUAUUCAUGUUCUUUGUCAUGCCUCACGAUUAGCUGGAGGCAAUGUGAACAAUGGGUAAGCUCUGAAACUGACCUAGAGAGAGGAUCAAAUUGAAAGGAAUUUGAGAGAUAAAUUGACAUUGAAGGCAAUGUUUUCUGAAUAUGUUUCAACUUUCGAAAAUGCAUAUUACAACUCAAGAUUGCUAUGUUAUGAAUGUUUAGUGAAGUCGUUGCAAUUAAGGGGCGCUAGCCUAAGGUCUACCCAAGUGGUGGCGCUAGCCUGAGGUCUACCCAAGUGGUGGAGCAUAUAUCAUAAUUUGUUGCUGUGGGGACUUGUGUUCUCGCAUACCCUCCUAAUUAUGUUUAAAAAUCAAAAUCAUGGUCGGCUAGUACUAGGGAGUUUUUCAUAGUUUGACAAAGCUAUUUUUUAACAUGUUUCAUUGAAAGAAACUAAACAUAGUGGCCUCAAAAGUCAUAUUUAGACCAACUGAAGCAGAAUAAGAAUAAAACUACACAAUCUUUGCAGCAUAUGCAGAAUAAUUUUAGACCAACAAAGAAAUUAAAAAACAAAGAUUUUAACCGAAUCAAACACAAGUAAGAGCUCAGUUGCAACAUAUGCAGAAUCUCUUGCCAAUUUUGAUACAGAAACAUCAAUUAAGACAAUGGAGUCAGUGAGAUGCACUUCACUAGAAAUUUCUGCUAUUACCUUAAUAAAAUUUGAAAUUCUCAUAUAUUAAUUUAUAGCUCUUUACCACACAAUUGGCAUUUAGAGUUCUAUAUCUUUUGAACUUAAACCAACCAUAUUUGCCUAUAUCUGGAAGCACAUAAAGUUCUACCAUUAUCUGAGUGAUAGUGAAGAUAAAAAACCGAUUGUUCUCUGCAGUUCAUUUUAUAUUCAAAUAAAACUACUAUGUGCGUAUAAUCCCGACUUGUUCACUGUUUUAUUUAUUCUAUGAUGUUUAUUUUCACCUACGAAUUACAUGUGCAUUUGUUCCCUGCAUCAUUUCCUUUGCCGCCUAUGAGUUUUGACUUGUUUGAAUGUAUUUCUUCUGUUUACAAGCAGUUUGAUAUACACUGACAUCUGCACUUUCAAUUGAGCUCUGAAGAGCUGAUGAGUGAGCUAAGCUAGUUGUCAACUACUGUCCACACGAUACCUAUUUUUUAGGAAGAGAAUCCAUAACUGUACUUGGAGUUCAAAGGCAUCAACACGAGUCUCGUUUACGGCGCGAAGGAGGGUUUGGUUAAUGUGCCAGAUUCUUGCGGAGUAAUUUUCAAACACAAGAACCUUUUCUAUUGAGGAAAAUAUCCAAUUGAUGGUAAGGUGAGUUCUUAUUCAUGUUGUUUCAUCUUCUAUAUUUGCAUUGAUAUUCGAUUGUUGCCGGAUUGAAUUUUUAGUUAUUAAAUUUAGUGACACCACUGUCUUUGUGUUGAUGUUGUCAUCGGAGCAAUAUUUCUUUUGGGUCAAGAUGAAACUAAUUGUCCCCAUUAUUUUAAUGUCAAUGUACGGAUGAAUAUUGUAAGACACUGGAUUAUAUAAAUGUGUUAGAUUAGCUUCGGGUUAGGAUAUAUAUAGUCGCCAGCUUAUCCUAGACCCGUUCUUCACGAUUCUAUCAACGCUGUCUUUGUCUUCCAAAGACUUUCCAAUGAAAGCUUCAUAUGUUUAUUCAUUGUAGAGGGUGGAAAAGUUAGAGGUCAAAUGAGUGCGUAUUUGAAUGCAGUACCACAUCGUCUAAUGCAUUAUAAAAACUAAGCUGAUCACGUAUAAAAUGAAAGGACCUCUACCUUUUAGAAUCAUGAAGCCGUGUGACGAUGACAUAGCGAACUAUUCUUUCGCCUUUUACUAAAGAAUAUCGUGUCAGCAUCACAUUUAGCGGCAUGCGCUAGUUUUUGGAAGAGUCCUCUUCAUUGAGGGCUCUGCAAUUUUAGUUCAAGUAUUUUUAAUAAUUUUUCCUUUUCAUACCUUUCUGAAUUUCACUAACCUUUUGCGUUAUACUUUUUUGCAGGAUGCUUGUAGUAUGAAUUUUGUGUAGGAUCUUGGCCAUUAACAAGUGCAGUUCGUGGAGGCAUUGUGAAACUGAAGAAUUUUGUGUAUUGAUUAU
rnacentral:lncRNA from 1 species